GACGAACGCUGGCGGCGUGCCUAAUACAUGCAAGUAGGACGCUGAAGGAGGAGCUUGCUUCUCUGGAUGAGUUGCGAACGGGUGAGUAACGCGUAGGUAACCUGCCUGGUAGCGGGGGAUAACUAUUGGAAACGAUAGCUAAUACCGCAUAAUAGUAGAUGUUGCAUGACAUUUGCUUAAAAGGUGCAAUUGCAUCACUACCAGAUGGACCUGCGUUGUAUUAGCUAGUUGGUGGGGUAACGGCUCACCAAGGCGACGAUACAUAGCCGACCUGAGAGGGUGAUCGGCCACACUGGGACUGAGACACGGCCCAGACUCCUACGGGAGGCAGCAGUAGGGAAUCUUCGGCAAUGGACGGAAGUCUGACCGAGCAACGCCGCGUGAGUGAAGAAGGUUUUCGGAUCGUAAAGCUCUGUUGUAAGAGAAGAACGAGUGUGAGAGUGGAAAGUUCACACUGUGACGGUAUCUUACCAGAAAGGGACGGCUAACUACGU
rnacentral:rRNA from 1 species